CUGUCUCUCUAAAAUCUAAAAGGAUUUUCACAGAGGAGAAGAGUUACUAAACUCUUUUUCACAGAGGAAGGAGAAAUCGUUUCCAGAAUCGUUUGAAAGAGCUACUGUAAACUCUUCUCCUUUUUAGGGUUUUAAUUUGGUUGAGGUACUGUAAAGUCUCUUCCUCUUUAGGGUUUCAAUUUGGUUGAGGUACGGUAAAUUCUCCUACUCUUUAGUAUGUAAUUUUGCUCGAGGAAACUUCCAAGGGUUGCUUGAAUUAGAAAACUGUUUCAAAAAUACAUUUAUUAGUUGCAACAUAUGAAAGUUUUCCUCAAUUAGGCAUUUUCUUGCGUUUGUUAUUGUUUCUCUUUGCGUGAUGGGCUCGAUUUUGCUUCCGCUUUAUGAUAAUUCUCCAUAUAAAAAGGGGAAAAAUCACUUCCAAUUUUAUUCAGAAUUUGUAUAACUAUACAUUUAACAGGUAAUUGUAAAUACUAGUACUAUCCGUACCAUUUAUCGUUUUGUACUUGUCGUAUUUGUUUUAUUUACAGUAGGAUUUUAAGUGAGAUCAAUUGCUUACGUUACUACUUAGCUUACUUUAUGCUUCGCAUCAAGUGGUAAAAACUGAUCUAAAAAUGAUUAUUUGAUAUGUCAUGUAGCUCGUAAGAGUAUUUAAUCUGCAAAUGUUUGGUGGUUGUAGCCUUACAUACUGAUUAUUUAUUUGUUAUUUGAUUUCAUGCCUUGGUUUGUUAUGGGAUAGAUGUUAAAUGUACUGUAAUGUUUGUUUUGUUAUUUCUUAGUUCUCACCUACAUAUGUUCGUCUCUUAUGUGUAUACAACUGGUAGUGUCUGGGAACCUGUGGAUCAUCACGCCUGAUUAGUAGGAAGAAAGUUGUAGGUCUCUAGUCCCUACGAGCAAUACUCGUUUUUUUCCUUAACUACUACGUACUCUAAUAGAGUUCAACUAUAUCUUCCUUUGUGUGAAUAAUCCCUUUGUUUGAGUUGAGGUAAUAGAUUUUUCAUGCUUGGUUAAUUUUAGAUGAUGAUAUAUGCUACAUACUAGGCUGGAAACACAAAUCUUUUGGGGGUAAGGAGGGGGGUAUAUUGCAAGGCUGGAAAAGAGAGAGAGGAAUCAUCAUUUUAAAUAAGUAUAACUGGUUUAAGAUUACUAGAUUAAUUGUUGCUGAACAAAAUCUGCUAUCCAGUGAAUUGAUUGAUACCUCUUGUUUGGUUGGAAGAUUCUUGUGCUUAUUAUACUAGUUUACGUUCCGUUAAGGUAAAAGGACGGGGUUUAAACAGAAUUUGUAAGGUCAGGAGUGAUAAAAGAAGACUGAGUAAAAAAAACGCAGAGUUAGUUGAUCAAUUUUAUUAGUAGUAAAUAAAUAAGAUGAGUUGUGCUCAUUCCUCCUCAAUCCUGCUUGGCUAUUCUGACGGCAACCAUAAAACAAGAGUAAAGGAUCACUCAUUUUUAAGCAAAGACUUUUCCAUCUUCCUCUCUGCCAAUAUCGUGAAUGUGACAUUAACAUGUAAACAAAGGUAUCCACUAUCCUUUUUCUUUUAUACAUUCAUACAAGUUGAAAAAAUGGUACGAGUGAAUCUAUAAAUUUAGUGAAUGAAUCUCCCAAUAAUCGGAAAGUUGACAUCAAUAAAGGCAUGAAAGUCACAUCAUACAUUCUCAACAUAUGUAAGGUAGUUUUAAAACUUUUUAUGUGUAUAUAUAUCAAUUUGGAACAAUCUAAACACGAUAUUAGAGGUUGACUUAGUGGUUAAGGGGAUUUAAAAUUCACCUCGAAGUUUCAAGUUCAAGUAUGAAGGAAGAGAAGAUAAAAGGGAUAGAAGACUAAAUUUAAUUAACACUUUUCUAGACUUUUCUUGUACUGGCAUAGGAGGAGUGUUUGGCUGGUCUAGGCAUAGCUUCACUUAGUACCAAAACACUCAACAUUACACUCCAAAGUUGGGUGGUGAAAGUGCAGCGGAAGAAGAGAUGGUUCACAUCUUUACUUUCUUUUCACAGGGAGCAUAUGCUGCCAAUGUUAAGUCCCUAUUUUUGAGAUUGCUUACUAGAUACUUAAUUAUCACUAUCUUAAUCUGAUGAUGACGAAUCAGUACCUAUUGCAUCAUUGAAUUCAUCUGACCCCAUUGCAUCCUGAAGCUUAUUUCUUGACAUAGAAACACCAGAUGUUUUUGACUGGACAACUACAGUUUAUGUGAUUCAAAUGUGAGUGUUGGAUUUGCUCUAAUAUAUUCCUUCAGACAUACACAAAUAAUAAAACAUAAGGACGGAAAAAAAAAUACAUAUAUGCAGAUCCCUUGUUUGUUUGUGGAAUCUAAUUGUACCGUGGAUGGAAUCUAACUGGCAGGUAUAUGAAAGAAGAAACUGUACAGUGGAUGGAAUCUAAUUGAUUUCUCACUUCAUUGUUUGUGCCUUAAAUGUUUACUUAUUGUGUGUCAUGUUUGAUUUCUAACAUUGGUUUGGACUUGAGAAGUGAAGUCUGAGUUUUUUGUGUGUAUUGUUUUGUGGUCAUCUAAUAAUACAAGUUUUUGUGUUUUAGUCGGUUAAAGGAAAACAUAAACAUAUAUGUUAUUAUGAUCAAUGUCAUUAUUGUUGUUUUUGAAUAAAAUGGAAGUGGAGCAUAUUAUUGUUAUUGUUAUUGUUAGAGUCAGAGUCGGUAGUAGUGGUAGGGGUGGGGAAAACAUAUUCUGGCGAGAAAUGGCUCUUUCACGAUUGUGAGAAUUCUGGUGUUCUCGAGUGCUUGACAAGUGUAGAACUUGCGAGAAUAAUAGAAGCAAGAGAACAUUCUAGAAGAAGAGAAUGUAUGUAUAUACGUUGUGAUGAGAGUGUUAUAUAGGAGAGAGUGAGUGAUAAGGAGGAGAGCAACUAUCAGUGAAUUAGCAGGACGAAUAUAGUGGUGACAUAUUAUGGCAAAACAGAAGCGAGAGAGAGAGUAUGAGUUAAUUUGUUUGUAUGGAUCAACUUUACCAUUCCUUAGUUAAAACACACGUACUUUAUAUACAUACAAUUGUUAAAAGUGUAAUACUUCAUUGCAUUUCCAGAAGUAGUUGCUAGAAACUAAAUGCUCAUGAAAUCGCUAAAUCAUGCUUUGCCUAAUCAAACCAAUAAAUAACUGGAUUGCUUUUAGAAGUGAUUCUUCCAGUCUGAACAUAUUCUGGAGUUGCAUAGCCUACCGUACCUACAACCUGAGGAAUUGCUAAGUUAGGCAAUGCACAACGAGACAUUUGAAACAUUUGGUCUAAAACAUGUCAUAGACAUUUCUGCGGCUAUAUAUCAUUUAAGGGUAAAACGAAAAGUUUAAACUUAAAAUGUUUCUAAACAUAGAAAAUGUCUUUCUUUUUUGUGACUGAUGGACAACAUCAUACGAAGUGUAGAUCCGGUGAGGUCUGGGGAGGGGACACAAACCUUACCCUUUCUCAUAGAGAUAGAGAUGUUGUUUAUGAAGACCCCUGACUCAGGUUGUGAAAAUUAAAGAACAUCAAAAAAUAGAAAUAGGGAAGAAAAAGGAUACUUACUGAUGGUGACACAUGGGUUAGUCCUGUAGUUGGACCUUGCCUAACUAGUCCAAAGUGUGAUAGUUUUGCGAUAAAGUCUUCAUCCAGAAUAAUAUUUGAUGGUUUGAAGUCUUGAAAUAUCAACUAAAACAAAGACACCAAAGAAAAAAUAACAAUGAGAAAGUUUAGAACCAGAAAUAUCCAAGGAUAGAAAUUGAUAUUGCUGACAAAAGGGCUCUGCUAUCCCUGUUAAUAGUCAAAAUGAAGUUUGUAUUGGGCUUCUAUGCACCCAAAUGUCAUGUUUUCUCUUAGGGACUUACAAACAUAAAUAAAAAGGUUUUAGUGGGUUAGCUCGGUAAUUAACAAACUCUUGAAACUAUCUAUUUAAUUCUAGAACAUGCAAUUUCGACGAAACAUAGGAAAGUGCAGAAGCAAUUGCCAUCCAGAUUUCAAAUUGUGUGAAGAAAAGAAUGAUAGUGCAAUGCUCCAUAUGCUUUAAGCCAAAUGUUCCGAAUGAGCCUUUUAUUCAUUUGAUAACUCGUCUAAUAACCAUGCAAAUACAUAAUGAAUUAGGUCUACGAAGCAGUUUGAAGAAACAAACUGCUUUAAGGUUGAUUGAACAUCUGAUUUGUCUUGCUCACAAUAAUCCAACCAAAUGUUUUUUUCUUUGGCACCUUGCCUAUCAUCCAAACCCAUCUCACAGCUAGUCUUCCUUGAUCAUUUCAUCAUAAUUUACUCAUAUUCACCUAGUGUAUUUUACCAUCCUAGAUGAUGAUCAAUAAAGAAUUCACCGCUUUAAGAAUUUAGCAAUGAGCUACACCUUUUUCUUUAAUUAGGAAACUUCGUAGAAAGGAAUGGGCUGAGGGGAGUAAAUAAAACAGAGGAAUUACUAGUUGUGAAGAUACGUAAUGGAUUCUAAUAUAUAAGAACACUUUAAAUUCCUUUUUCUCCUAUUUGUUUUUCUUCAAUAAAAAAUUAGAGUUAAUAUAUGCUUAAUUUUCUCUACAGAACUGGAUUGCUACUUAAUUUUCUCGACCACUCUGCAGGCGUCUCCUCUAUACUCUCGAUUAUAUCUCUCUUUUCACAAUCGAUGAGUUAAAACUUUAAGAUUUUCUAUUUUCCAUUUAUGAAGUACUGAUUAUGCUUAUCCAAAGUCUAUAUUUUGUCAUCCUGUUGCCUCUCUGUACUUAGCUAUCUAGAUUAUGUAUUGAAAAACGAUAUAAUAUGUGGUGUUCUCUUAGUUGCUUAAACAAGUUUAUGUCAAAUUUGAACAAUUUGUUAUAUUAUGUAGCUGAAAAAUCUCCUUUUUUAAGAUUUUAUUCUACAGAUGUGUUCUUCAUUGAAUUGUUGCUAGUUUGUCUAUUUAAAUUCUAAACUUUUUUAUUUGUGUAGAUGGAAUUUGCACAUCGUAAAUGGAUGUAUGAUAGAACUCAUCCUAAUCGUGUGGGAUUGAGGGUGGAAUUUAUAAAUGGGGUUAAAGAAUUUAUUGAAAAGGUGAAAACUAGAAAUGAUUUUCUUAUAGAAGGCACAAUUAGGUGUGCUUGUGCCAAAUGCAAGUGUAUCAAAUUAUUGAAACCAGAUAAAGUUGAAUUUCAUAUUUUGAAGAAGGAAUUUAUGGAUAAUUAUUAUGUGUGGACUAUUCAUGGAGAGAAUGACGACAAUGUAGCUAAUGUUGAUUUUCAGAAUGCGUUUGAUGGUGUGGAUAAUUCUGUAGAGAAUAAUAAUGUUGAAAAUAAUCGAUUCAAUGAAAUGUUCAGGGAUGCUUUUGGGAUGUUCCCAGGGGUUCAAUCAGAACCAAAUGAUGAGGCUAAGCGCUUCUAUGAAGAGUUAACUGAAGCUUGUCGAUCAUUAUAUGAAGGUUUAAUGCAUUCAAGUUGUCUGUUGAUGUUAGAUUGCUAAGUAUAAAGUUAGAUUAUUCCAUUUCUCAAGCAGGGAUGGAUUCUAUCAUUGGGCUUAUGAAUGACCUUAAUCCGAGUAAAAUUGACUUACCUCAAAAUUUCUACACAACAAAAAGGAUGGUUUCUAAGUUAAGACUUUCAUCAGAAAGGAUUGACUGUUGUGAAAAAGGUUGCAUGUUAUUCUAUAAAGAUGAUGCAGCUUUAGAAAAUUACAAAUUUUGUAAUCAAGCUCGUUAUAAAGAAGUCACAAAUGUCAAAAAGAAAAAGGUUCUAGUGAAGUCAAUGCAUUACUUACCCCUUAUACCUAGGUUAAAGAGGUUAUAUGCAUCAAUUAGCUCUGCUCCUCAUAUGAGAUGACAUUAUGAACAUAAAAGGCCACCUGGUGUUCUAUGUCAUUCAUCAGAUGGAGAAGCAUUUUGAUAAAGUAUUUCCUGACUUUGCUAGUGAACUUAGAAACAUUAGGUUGGGAUUAUGUAUUGAUGGAUUCACUCCAUUUGCGGUCUCUGCGGCAUCAUAUUCAUGUUGGCCAGUAUUUGUUACGCCAUAUAAUAUUCCCCAGAGUUAUGUAUGACAAGUCUAUAUUUGUUUCUAACUUGCAUUAUUUCAGGUUCACACAAUCCAAAAUAUUUGAUUGACAUAUACAUGCAGGCUUUGAUCGAUGAGUUAAAAUUGUUGUGGAAACAUAUGAUGUUUUCCAUAAAUAAAACUUCAUAAUGUGUGCUACUCUGUUGUGGAUUAUAAAUGAUUUUCCUGUUUAUGGAAUGUUGUCUUGGGUGGUCAACUACUGGUAAGUUAGCUUGCCCAUGUUGUAGAUUGCCUUUUGUAGGAAAUAUGAUUACUCAGUCCUUUUUUAAUAUUCUUAAUCCAGUACAUUAGGAGGAAACAACACGAUUCUCAAUCAGCUUCAUUGCCACCUACAAGUCACUCGAGCCAGCCAGAUGUAGGUCCUCUUAAUAUUCUUAAUCCAGUACAUUAGGACAACAAAUAGAUAUACCAAUUUAGCACUUUUUUUUUCAUGAAGUUUAUUUUUUGAGCUGCUGAUUGGGAAUCAUGUUAAUCGUUAGUCGAUUUGAUCAAUAUACUUUAUGUGCUUUAGUAUUACUUGUUCAUGUAUAAUUUCAAAAUUAAUACUCACUAAUAAUUCCUAUUGGAAACUGUAUCCUCCUCAGUGCCAAAUUAUUAUAUCUAUUUGUUGUCCUAAUGUAUUGGAUUAAGAAUAUUAAGAGGACCUACAUCUGGCUGGCUCGAGUGACUUGUAGGUGGCAAUGAAGCUGGUUGAGAAUUGAGUUGUCUCCUCCUAAAGUACUGGAUUAAGAAUAUUAAAAAAGGACUGAGUAAUCAGAUUUCUUACAAAAGGCAAUCUACAAUAUGGGCAAGCUAACUUACCAAUAGUUGACCACCUAGACAAUAUUCCAUAAGCAAGAAAAUCAUUUAUAAUCCACAUCAGAGCAACACGCAUUAUGAAGUUUUGUUUAUGGAAUACAUCAUAUGUUUCCACACCUUGAUUUCACAACAAUUUUAACUCAUCGAUCAAAGCCUGCAUGUAUAUGUCAAUCAAAUUGUUUGGAUUGUGCGGACCUACAAUAAUGCAAGUUAGGAAUAAAUAUGGACUUGUCAUACAUAACUCAGGGGGGAGAUUAUAUGGCGAAUAUGGUGCCACAGGGACCGCAAAUGGAGUGAAUCCAUCAAUACAUAAUCCCAACCCAACGUUUCUAGGUUCACUAGCAAAGUCAGGAAAUACUUUAUCAAAAUAUUUUCAUGCUUCUCCAUCUGAUGGAUGACAUAGAACACCAGGUGGCCUUUUAUGUUCAUAAUGCCAUAUCAUAUGAGGAGCAGAGUUCAUUGAUGCAUAUAACCUCUUUAACCUAGGUAUAAGGGGUAAGUAAUGCAUUGCCUUCAUUGAAACCUUCAUCCUUUUGACAUUUGUGUCUUCCUUAUAACGAGCUUGAUUACAAAAUUUGCAAUUUUCUAAAGCUGCAUCAUCUUUAUAGAAUAACAUGCAACCUUUUUCAAAACAGUCAAUACUUUCUGAUAAAAGUCCUAACUUAGAAACCAUCUUCUUUGUCGUGUAGAAAUCUUUAAGUAAGUCAAUUUUACUCGGAUUAAGCUCAUUCAUAAGCCCAAUGAUAGAAUCCAUCCCCACUUGAGAAAUUGAAUAAUCUGACUUUAUACUUAGCAAUCUAACAUCGAUAGGUUUGAUCAGCCGGGUGCUGGAUCGAAUGAACACUCAACCGCGUCAUCAUGGCAACGAUGUAUGUCCAACCUUUAGAUCUCUUCUUUCUCAAUAAAAGCGGGUAAGGAAAGUCUGAAGGCUCAUCCGACAACUGAUGGCUAGAGGGAGAAAAUCGCUUUUGCCAACCAAAGCCCCAAAACUAGUAAGGGCACUCAUGCCCCAGAAAGCCACCCCAACCCUACCACCAAAGCUUGACUUUACUAAACUAAUAAAUAAGGCUUGCGCCAGGCACUCACCUUUUUUGCUGAGCCAUAUCAUAUCUUGCUGGAAAUGAAUUUCUUCUUGAAUCUUGCUUGGUGACAACUUAGAAUGUAUUGAACCUUCGUAUAAUGGUCAACUAGCUUCAGUUAACACUUCAUAGAAGCGCUUAGCCUCAUCAUUUGGUUCUGAUUGAACCCCUGGGAACAUCCCAAAAGCAUCCCUGAACAUUUCAUUGAAUCGAUUAUUUUCAACAUUAUUAUUCUCUACAGGAUUAUCCACACCAUCAAACGCAUUCUGAAAAUCAACAUUAGCUAUAUUGGCGUCAUUCUCUCCAUGAAUAGUCCACACAUAAUAAUUAUCCAUAAAUCCCUUCUUCAAAAUAUGAAAUUCAACUUUAUCGGGUUUCAAUAACUUGAUACACUUGCCUUUGGCACAAGGACACCUAAUUGUGCCUUCUAUAAGAAAAUCAUUUCUAGUUUUCGCCUUUGCAAUAAAUUAUUUAACCCCGUUUAUAAAUUCCACCCUCAAUCCCGCACGAUUAGGAUGAGUUCUAUCAUACAUUCAUUUAUGAUGUGCGAAUUUCAUCUACAUAAAUAAAAAGUUGAGAAUUUAACUAGACAAACAAGCAACAAUUCAAUCAAGAAAACAUCUGUAAAAUAAAAUCUUAAAAAAUGAGAUUUUUCAGCUACAUUAUAUAACAAAUUGUUCAAAUUUGACAUAAACUUGUUUAAGCAAAUAAGAGAACACCGCAUAUUAUAUCGUUUUUCAACACAUAAACUAGAUAGCUAAGUACAGAGAGGCAACAAGUUGACAAAAUAUAAACUCUGGAUAAACAUAAUCAGUACUUAAUAAAUAGAAAAGCUUAAAGUUUUAACUCACCGGUUGUGAAAAGAGAGAUAUAAUCGAGAGUAUAGAGGAGACGCCUGCAGAGUGGUCGAGAAAAUUAAGUAGCAAUCCAGUUUUGUAGAGAAAAUUAAGCAUAUAUUAACUCUAAUUUUUUGAUUUAAGAGAAACAAAUAGAAGGAGAAAAAGGAAUUUAAAGUGUUCUUAUAUAUUAGAAUCCGUUACGUAUCUUCACAACUACUAAUUCCUGUGUUUAUUUACUCCCUUCAGUCCAUUCCUUUCUACGAAGUUUCCUAAUUAAAGAAAAAGGUGUAGCUCGCUGCUAAAUUCUUAAAGCGGCGAAUUGUUUAUUGAUCAUCUGGAGUAUGGUAAAAUACACUAGGUGAAUAUGAGUAAAAUAUGAUGAAACGAACAAGGAAGACUAGCUGUGAGAUGAGUUUGAAUGAUAUGUAAGGUGCCAAAGAGAAAAUCUUUUGGCUGGAUUAUUGUGACCAAGACAAAUUUGAUGUUCGAUUAAUCUUAAAGCAGUUUGUUUCUAUACCUAAUUCAUUAUGUAUUUGUAGUUAUUGGACGAGUUACCAAAUGAAUAAAAAGGCUCAUUCAGAACAUUUGGCUUAAAGCAUAUGGAGCAUUGCACUAUCAUUUUUUUCUUCACACAAUUUUGAAAUUUGGAUGGCAAUUGCUUCUGCACUCUUCUGUGUUUCUUCAAAAUUGUGUGUUUUGGAAUUAAAUAGAUAGUUUCAAGAGUUUGUUAAUUACCGAGUUAACCCACUAAACCUUUGUAUUUAUGUCUGUAAUUUCCUAAGAGAAAACAUGACUUUUUGGUGCAUAGAAGCCCAUCACAAACUUCAUUUUUACUAUUAACAGGGAUAGCAGAGAUCUUUUGUCAGCAAUAUCAAUUUCUAGCCUUUGAUAUUUCUAGUUCUAAACUUUCUCAUUGUUAUUUUUUCUUUGUUGUCUUUGUUUUAGUUGAUAUUUCAAGACUUCAAACCAUCAAAUAUUCUUCUGGAUGAAGACUUUAUCGCAAAACUAUCUGACUUUGGACUAGGUAGGCAAGAUCCAACUGCAGGACUAACCCAUGUGUCAACAUCAGUAAGUAUUUUUUUUCUUCCCUAUUUUUAUUUUCUGAUGUUCUUUGAUUUGCACAACCUGAGCCGGGGGUCUUCAAAAACAACCUCUCUACCUCCGUAGGAAAGGGUAAGGUAUGUGUCCCCUCCCCAGACCUCACCGAGACUACACUGGGUAUGAUGUUGUCCAUCAGUCCCAAAAAAGAAUGACUGUUUCUAUGUUUAGAAACAUUUUAAGUUUAAACUUCUCGUUUUACCCUCAAAUGAUAUAUAGCCGCAGAAAUGUCUAUGACAUAUUUUAGACCAAAUGUUUCAAAUAUCUCGUUGUGCAUUGCCUAACUUAGGAAUUCCUCUGGUUGUAGGUACGGUAGGUUAUGCAACUCUAGAAUAUGUUCAGACUAGAAGAAUCAUUGCUAAAAGCAAUCCAAUUAUUUAUUCGUUUGAUUAGGCAAGGCAUGAUUUAGCGAUUUCAUGAACAUUUAGUUUCUAGCAACUACUUCUGGAAAUGCAAUGAAGUAUACUUUAACAACUAUAUGUAUAUAAAGUACGUGCAUUUUAACUAAAACAAAUUAACUCAUACUCUUUCUCUCUCACUUCUGUUCUGCCAUAAUUUGGCACCAUUAUAUUCCUCCUGCUAAUUCAUUGAUAGUUGCUCUCCUCCUCAUUACUCACUCUCUCCUAUAUAACACUCUCAUCACAACGUAUAUACAUAUAUUCUCUUCUUCUAGAAUGUUCUCUUGCUUCUAUUAUUCUCGCAAGUUCUACACUUGUCAAGCACUCGAGAACACCAGAAUUCUCACAAUCGUGAAAGAGCGAUUUCUCUCCAUAAUAUGUUUUCCACCACCCCUACCACUACUACCGACUCUAACUCUAACAAUAACAAUAAUAUGUUUCACUUCCGUUUUCUUCAAAAACAACAAUAAUGACAUUGAUCAUAACAACAUAAUCCCUCCGUCCCAUUUUAUGUGGCACCAUUUUCUUUUUGGUCAGUCUAAAAAAAAAUGUCACAUUUCCUUAUAUGGUAAGUAUUUAAAGGUAUAAUUCCUCUUUUACCCUUGUUGGUCCUACUUAAUCUUAAAAUAAUACUCCAAUACAUUUAUGAGGAGAGAGAAAAGUGAGUCUAUUUUUUAAAGGGCAAUUUGGUAAACAUUUCAAAGUCUUCAUUUAUUUCUUAAAUUCCGUGCCCGGUCAAAUGUUAUCACAUAAAAUGAGACGGAUGGAGUAUAUGUUUAUGUUUUCCUUUAACCGGCUAAAACACAAUAACUUGUAUUAUUAGACGACCACAAAACAAUACACACAAAAGACUCAGACUUCACUUCUCAAGUCCAAACCAAUGUUAGAAAUCAAACAUGACACACAAUAAGUAAACAUUUAAGGCACAAACAAAGAAGUGAGAAAUCAGUUAGAUUCCAUCCACUGUACAAUUUCUUCUUUCAUAUGCCUGUCAGUUAGAUUCCAUCCACGGUACAAUUAGAUUCCACAAACAAAGAAGGGAUCAUGCAACCUUCUUUAUAUCAUAGGACUACAUAGUUACCUUCCUGAUAAUUUUGUGAGAUAGGGUGUGUUUGGUACGAAGGAAAAUAUUUUCCGGAAAAUAUUUUCCAAUUUUCUCAUGUUUGGUUGGGUAAAAUGUUUUUCAAAUCAACUUAUUUUCCUCAAAUUCAAAGAAAAUGACUUCCCUUCAAAAAAUUAAGGAAAGCAUUUUCCAAAACUUUCCUCCAAUUUCAAAUUACAAUUUUUUUGUUGAAAAAAAUAAAUUUAAAGCUUAUUUUUAAAUAAACAUUUUUCAACUUCAAUUUUUUUAUUUUUNNNNNNNNNNNNNNNNNNNNNNNNNNNNNNNNNNNNNNNNNNNNNNNNNNNNNNNNNNNGCGACCCCGCCCUCCCAAAAAAAAUUAAGUUUGUUUUGUUUAAAAAAAAAAUUAAUUUCAAAUUCUUUUUUUACCCCAUCUCACCCUUACCCCCCCCCCCCCCCCCCCCCCAAAAAAAAAAAAUUAAGUUUAUUUUAAAAAUAUUUUCAAUUUCAAUUCAAAAAUUAUUUUCUACUUCUCUAGUAAAAAAAGAGAUAUUUUCAUUCAUAAAUCAAACACUAAAAUUUUUUGUCUUGUCUAUUGGAGUUAGCUUGUUGACAGUUGAUGGAAUGCAUAUAUGUAUUUAUUGCACUGGUAUUUUUUUCUGUCCUUAUGUUUUAUUAUUUGUGUAGAUUUGAAGGAAUAUGUUGGAGCAAAUUCAGCACUCACAUUUGAAUCACAUCAACUGUAGUUGUCCAGUCAAAAACAUCUGAAAUUUCUAUGUCAAGCAAUGAGCUUCAGGAUGCAAUGGGGUCAGAUGAAUUCUAUGAUGCAAUAGGUACUGAUUCGUCAUCAUCAGAUUAAGCAAGUUUGUUGUUUCUUGUGUUCCUACAUCAAAGGCAGUGUAAUAGUUCCAGAAACUAUCUUGUUCAAUUACCUUGCCUUUGAACCUUUUAUGUGUUUUUUAAACUCUUUAUUUACCUGUGACAGGACAAAAAGGUCAAGCUAAAAAAUGUUUCAUGGGCCAUAGCAAGCUUGACCUUAAAGAGGACAUCGGGUAACUAAAGUCAUUGCUACCUCUCUUGCUUUGGUAUAUAUGGAAGCCUCUCUGUAGCAUUUCAAUUUGUAAUCAUGUUCCAUCAUCAGUUACUCUAAAUACUAAGAAGAUCAUGAUGAUUUACUUGAGAUGGUAUUAAUGAAGAACAUUAGUCCUCUUCAAGACCAAUUAAAAUUAAACACAAGAUUUUUUUACUCAAAAAUAAGGGCUUAACAUUGGCAACAGAUGUGAACCAUCUCUUCUUCCACUGCACUUUCACCACCCAACUUUGGAGUGUAAUGUUGAGUGUUUUGGUACUAAGUGAAGCUAUGCCUAGACUAGCCAAACACUCCUCCUAUGCCAGUACAGGAAAAGUUUAGCAAAGUGUUGAUUAAAUUUUGUCUUCUAUCCCUUUAAUCUUCUCUCCCUUCAUAUUUGAACUUGAAACUUCAAGGUGAAUUUUGAAUCUCUUAACCACUAAGUCUAAUAUUGUGUUUAGAAUGUUCAAAAUCGAUAUAUAUAUAUAUAUAUAUAUACACACAUAAAAAGUUUUAAAACUACCUUACAUAUGUUGAGAAUGUAUGACGCGACUUUUAUUGAUGUCAACUUUCCGAUUAUUGGGAGAUUCAUUCACUAAAUUUAUAGAUUCACUCGUACCAUUUUUUCAAUGUAUAAAAGAAAAGAAGAGUGGAUACCCUUGUUUACAUGUUAGUGUCACAUGCAUGAUAUUGGCAGAGAGGAAGAUGGAAAAGUCUUUGCUUAAAAACGAGUGAUCCUUUACUCUUGGUUUAUGGUUGCGGUCAGAAUAGCCAAGCAGGAUUGAGGAGGAAUGAGCACAACUCAUCUUAUUUAUUUACUACUACUAGAAUUGAUCAACUAACUCUGCAUUUUUUUUACUGAGUCUUCUUUUAUCACUCCUGACCUUACAAAUUCUGUUUAAACCCCGUCCUUUUACCUUAACGGAACGUAAACUAGUAUAAUAAACACAAGAAUCUUCCAACCAAACAAGAGGUAUCAAUCGAUUCACUAGAGUAUUAGUUAAGGAAAAAUAUGAGUAUUGCCCGUAGGGACUAGAGACCUACAGCUUUCUUCCUACUAAUCAUGCGUGAUGAAUCUGAUGAUCCACCAGUUCCCAGACACUACCAGUUGUAUACACAUAAGAGACGAACAUAUGUAGGUGAGAACUCAGAAAUAACAAAACAAACAUUACAGUACAUUUGUAACACCUCAGAAAUUAGUAAGUUAAACUAGAGCCUAAACGUGAGGACUAGUGUAACAUUCCGGAAUUUGUUUAGACUAAACUAGAGCUAAAAUGAAAGGGGUAAAAGUUUAAGAAGAGGGCAAGGGCCUAAGCUACCAAGAAAGAGUGAAGGAAAACAUGUUCUUCCUUAGGACCUUUUAGCGAGGGGACAACAUGGUCGCCCAAGGGACUUGGCGAGUUGCCCAUGUCCCAUUGGGGUCGCCUAGUGGACUAUCCCAUGAACUAGUUGCUGGAAAUGUAGGCGAGCUAGGUCGGGGCUCGCCUACUAGGUUGGCGCAUCGUCCAUAGACCCUCUCCAUCGCCUAAGUGAUAUGCUACUACUUGAAAUGCUUUAAAAGUAACAGGACUAUAACAACACUCUCCAUUUCGUAAUAGAAGAAAGCGUAGAAAAGAAAGGUUUUGAGGGAGAAUUCUUGAAAAUUAGGCGACCCAAGGGACCAUUAGGUGUGUCGCGUAGUGCCCUUGGAUAGCCAAGAGGGGUAAGUUGGCGAGCCAAGUCGUGUAGGUUAGUUAAUUUUAAGUUGAAACUUUAAGGGUCUUUAGUUUUCUUCCAAAAUUGAACCUACAUUAUUUUACUGUUUUCCUAGUAAGUAUAUAAGAUUUUUAGACUCAAAUUUUCCCCAAUUAAGUCACUUUUAAAGAAUCAAAAAGAAAACCCAAGAGUUCAUCUUCCUCACAAUAUUUCUCUCUAAAACUCCAAGAAGAAGAAGAGUUGAAUUGGAGCUAGGGUUUGGUGAUUUCAAGGCUUCUUCCUCAAAUUCUUUGAAGAUUCUUAAUCAAGGUAUGAUAGUUUUUCAUCUAUGGGUAGCUUUCACCCAUGGAGGCCCUUCAAAACUAGAUUUCAAAGCUUUCAAUUUCCCCAAAAAGUUAGGGUUUCACUCUAAGUCAUGUGUUUCUUCCUCAAACGUAUUCAAUGGUUGAUUUAUGAUGGAUUAUGAUUGAAUUGUUGAUUAAUUGACGAUUUAUGAUGAAAUCCCCUCAAGAACCCAUGAAUUUCCCUAUAUUGCUAAAUUGUGACUUCUUGAUGUGGGUUGAUUGAUUAUAGAAGCAUGUGAAUAGAUUAUGUCUAUAUUGAUUGAGUUAUUGAAUCAUGAUAUUAUCCUUAUGUAAUGUAGUAACUCUAGAUGUUGGGUUGAAUGUAACUCAUGGUACUUGAAGGGAAAAUUAUGAGGGUUUGUACAUGUGUAUGAGGAUUGUUGUAUAAUCAUGAUGUUUGUGUAUAUGCCUUGUGAAUAUAUUGAAAGUAAUGUGAUCAUGACUACAAUGCAAUUGUGUUAUUAUUGAAAGGUUAUUCUCAAUUAUACACUUGUGCAUGAUGAUGAUAUAUUGUGAAAGGUUUCUUCAAUGUAAUGUUAUACCUUGAAUUGGUAGGCUUAGGGCAACAUCUUCUUGUAUAAUCGAAAGUAUCUUGACUUAAUGAACAUUGAAUCGGUAGACCUAAUGGUGGUAGCCCUUUCAUAAGUGAUUAAUGAAGUAUUCUAAGGCGUUGUCUUGACUUGGUAGACCUAAUGGCGGUAGCCCUUUUAUGAUGAGUCUAUGAACUACUAUAAUAAUGAACCUUGAAUUGGUAGACCUAAUGGUGGUGUCCCUUUCUUGAGGAUUCCAUGAGCUGUCCUAAUAAUGUACCUUGAAUCGGUAGACCUAAUGGUGGUAGGCCUUUCAUGUGUAAUAAUGUUAAUGAGAACGAACUACUCUAUGGGAAUUUAAAGCUUAGCACCGAGUGUAAAUCCUAAGGUGGAAGCUCUCCCCACGUUAGGCCGGGUUUCAAUGAACACCUUCCUUAUCCCAUAAAUAUGUGCCCACAUAAGUUAUUAGCUAGUGGAUCCAUCUAAGCUAAAAUGUUACCGGUCCUACCUUAGGCAAGUAGACCAACCCUUUACGGUGUGGGAUAGACACCGGAUUCCAUGAUUUGCUCACAUGGUCUAUGUUGGUUAGGGCUUAUUCCCGUCAUAUGAGUUAAGUGUUAUGGUUACUCAUGAAGUUCUAUGAAGUGUGGGUGGUAGUAUAAGAUGCCAUCCAUGCAUUGCACGAGUAGGCUUUGAGAGUGGCUAUGGCGUGUUUCUCUAUUGUCAUAAUGUCUAAUGAAAUGAAUAUGCUCAAAAUGAUGCUAAUGAGAAUGGUGACUUAAAGGCUUAAUGUAAUGAUGAAUGCUUAACUUGGAUUGUUAUUAUGAGUUGUUUUCCUUGUCAUGACUUAUUGAAUAUGAAUGUUCACUCGUCUAUGAGUACUAACUAAAGAUGAGGAUGAAGAAUGGUAAGUAUAUUAUGGUGGCAUCAAAGUGGUACUUAGUAAGAAUGGUAUUAUGAGAUGUCAUUCAUACAUUGCACAAGUAUAACUUAGGGUUAACUUAGAAUGAUGGUUCUAAUGUGUUAUAAUGACUUACAUGAUGAAUAUGCUGAUGUCUUAUGUGGUUAUACUAAAGUUCAUAAUGUUUCUCAAACUUGACAUAUGGCAUGGUUUUCAACCAAAUGUCCCUUUUAGCAUGAUUUUGCAUGGCUAUCAUACUUAGUGCAUUUUUGUGCUAACGUAUAUUUCUUCUACAUUUUUACAAAGUGUAGGUUCUGGAUCUUAAGGUGAUUUCUUUGGAGUAAAGCUUGGAUUGACUAUUCUCUAAGCUAGUGGUGAGUCCUCAAGAUUCGAGGACAUAUGAGAGUCUUUAGUAGUUUCUUUCAUGUCAUUUUACGUUUCGGACUAUGUUGAAGGGCUGUGACCCUAUUAUUGAUUCAAAGUUGUGAUGGCC
rnacentral:lncRNA from 1 species